CUCGUUUGGAGCCAUGUAUAAGAAUCCUGUAUUGUAUUAAAUUGUAAUAUUACAAUGUUUGGUGGGACCAUGUAUUGUAAUAAAUAUUACAACUUUAAUUUUUAAUACAACCCAUUCCGUAUUAUUAUAUACCGAAUAAAAGUCCUGCAUUAGGAUGUAUUGUAUUAUUUUGUAGAGUGUGCUUGUAUUAGCCCGUACUCUCUUUCUCACAGGCCACAACUACUUCCAUUCACUGGUUUUCAGUCAUCUUCUUCGGCCGAUUUGGCCGAAGUUUCAGUCAUCUUCUCCGGUUCGGCCCAAGUGUUCUCGGAUCUAUCUCUUCGUCUGUGGAUCUCCUAACCUCCAAGCUCUCUCUCUCACGCUCAAGAUUCUAUUUCAGGUGAAUAUGGAUAUUGGAGGUAGUAGUGACCAAGUUUAUAGCGAUAAAAGUUCUAGGCAUACGGGGAGUAAGUUUGAAGAGGAUGCAUUGCUAAAUGUUCUUGAAGAUGUUCUGGUGAAAGGCGGUAAUAGAUGUGAUAAUGGAACUGUUAGACCCGGGACAUGGAAGGAGAUAGGAAAGACAUUGAGUGUCUUAAUUCCCAACAGUGGUAUAAGAGCUAGCCCACACAUUCAGAACAAAUAUCGAAUGUUCAAGAAACAAUAUAGUAUCGUCUUGGACAUGGUCAACACUAGUGGCUUUUCUUGGAACAAUGUAAAAAAAAUGUGUGCAGGUUGAUAGUGAUGAGGCUUGGUUGACUUAUACUCAGGUAUCUUUUUUAUAGAUUAUUUAUUUUUAUUCUCUUGUACAUUGUAUGUUUUCCCACUAAUUUAAUUGUUAUGGCAAGUACUGUUUUUGGUAUUAUAUUUAUGUAUAUUGAACUUAUCUGUGCAAAAUAUUAAGGAUGCUAAGGGAUGGAGAAACAAACCUUUUCCUAUGUAUGAGAGACUAGCUAAUAUUUUUGGAAAAGAUAGAGUAACCGGAAAAGGAGCAGAAGCACCAGCAGACAUGGUUGAGAAUAUGAACUUAGAAGCUGAAGAAGAGACUGACGAUUCUAGGUUAGUGAAUCAGAAUCUUUCUUCACCUAGAGGUCAAAGAAAGUGAUCUAGAUCAGAUGAUGAUGGUAUGAAGGAGAUUGCUUCUACGUUCAAAACAAUGUUUGAACAUUCAAUCGAGCAAAUGAGGUGAUGGUGCAUGGGACUACUAAUGAUAAGGAGUUGGCUACGGAGUUGAAAUCGAUGGGACUUUCGGUUGAUGAUCAACUUGAUGUAUUGACAUACAUGUUGAAGAAGCCAGAAUAUGUGGCAACCUUCAAGUCAAUAGAUGGAGAAAUUCGAGAGGCUUUUGUGACAAGAGUACUUAGAGAAGUUAGAUCAAGUCGUUGAUUUGGUUAGGUGAGUAUUAAUGUGUGAGGAUUGAUUUUGUCGAUUGAACUUUGGUUUUGGUUGUUGAACUUUUUUUUGGUCGGUUGAAUUCUGAUUUAGUCGGUUGAACUUUGUUUAAUAGUUAAAACUUUGACAGUGCUACAAAGUCUAUUUUAGUUAUGUAAACUUUAUUUUUUUUAAACAAUUUGGUUACUUUUUUAUGACAAUA